AUAACAUAAAAUGAAAAAUAAAAACACAAAUGGCGGCAUCGCUGCUAUGUUUUUACUGCCGACAAUCUUCCCUUUGCUCCUCUGACAAUGCCUAACGAUUCUUCUUUCCGUCGUGUCGUCUGUUUGUUUAUUCCUAAAGCUGUGUUUGAUUAGUUGAGCAAUUUGGGGAGCAGAAAAUCACAUAAUCGUGAUUUGAGGAGUUUACCGAAAUAGGUAUUGGCUUGUAUACAGUGUGUUUGUGCAUUUGCGAAUACAUACAUACUGUUCUAUUUGCUGCCGAAGGUGGUAUCGUGGCAUUGCCGAAACGGCCCUUCUUUUUGGUUCGUUCGGAGCAUUAAUUUCCUCCUUCGUUUUUCACUCUAACCAUGAGGAUGGGUGAAACUCCGAUAAAUACACAAACUUCUAUGUCAAAGCACGCUUUCUUUGAUCUUUCUCAUGUUUCUCCUCUGGUCUUCUUGUAUCUUCUAAAAGAAUGCUAUGUCUAUGGAACGUAUAAAGCCUCAGUGAAGUUUCGUGCAUUACAGCAGCAAUUAUAUCUUGUUUUCACCAACAACUCCGUUAACGGACCACCAAUUCUAGUUGCCCGCUGCCUCUACAUAUUGCCCUUGUUUGAAUCAAACUGCGAUGGGUUCAGCCAUUUGGUACUCUCUGCUCUCCGUCGUUUCCUGAAAGUAGCGAACAGCAAUGAAGACUUAUUGAAGGCCAAGCUUUGUGCCGCUGAGUUAUUACUGGACAUCAUUGACGGUACCUUGUCUCAUGAUGAAGGGAUUCUAAUCAAGACAUUUCAGGUCUUUGAUGUCAAGUUACCUGACAUUGAUAAGGUGAUGAGCAAUCGUCCAUCUUUGAGGACAAGGUUUGGAAAGGAAACGGCAAACGAAGUGGUUGAGCAGUAUGUCUUCAAGCUGAUAGAACUCCAGUCAUACAUGACGGCUGUUGAAAUGUCGACACACUUCUCUAUCCAUCAGUCGGGAGAGUCAUUUCUGCUAAAGAUAUUGGAGUGCAGGCAACUAAAAGCAGCAGAGAAGUGGGCGACGUAUAUGGGGAAGCCAAUGUUAUGCCUGCUUGUCCAGGAAUAUGUUAAACAGAAGCUGUUGAAACCUGCAUAUGAUAUUAUAAAGAAUCACAAUCUGCGCCAGGAAUUCCCAGAACUCUAUCAUCAGGGCAAAGAAAGCGCACUAAAGAAGUUAGCAGAAAAAGGUGUCUGGGAUGUGGCAGAGGCAAGAGCUAAAAGCGAUCGGCAACUUCUCGAAUAUUUGGUUUAUUUAGCAAUGGAAGCUGGCUAUUCUGAAAAAGUGGAGGAGCUCUGCAGCCGAUAUUCACUCGAAGGCUUCUCAAUUCAGAAAGAGCCGGACUCAAAUGUUACACAGGGCCGGUACUUGAACCUUCAUGAACUGUCCAUUAAGGAUGUGUUUUGGGUUGAUGAAGUCAAUAGUUUGCGCGAUGCGAUAUACCACUUGGAGGAGUGCAAAGUGGUUGGAGUUGACUGCGAAUGGAAGCCUAAUUAUGAAAAGGGCAGCAAACCAAGUAAGGUUUCCAUAAUGCAAAUUGCCUCAGAGGAGAAGGUCUAUAUAUUAGACCUGAUCAGGCUGUAUGAGGAUGUCCCGAGUAUCCUAGACAAGUGCCUUGCCCGGAUAUUACAAUCCCCGAGUAUUUUAAAACUGGGCUACAAUUUCCAGUGCGACGUAAAGCAGCUAUCCCAUUCGUAUGGAGAAUUGAGUUGUUUCAAGCACUUUGAGAUGCUGCUCGACAUCCAGAACGUGUUCAAAGAACCAAGGGGUGGCCUUUCAGGACUGACUGAGAAAAUACUGGGAAUUGGUUUGAACAAGACGCGGCGAAAUAGCAACUGGGAGCAACGGCCGCUGAGCCAUUACCAGCUGGAGUAUGCGGCGUUGGAUGCGGCGGUGCUCCUCCACAUAUUCCGACAUCACUCUUCGCCUGCCAACAUCAACUCCAGCAACGAAUGGAAAUCACACAUCGUCUCACAUAUGGAUAGCUGAGAAAUAAUUAUGAAUAUGAUAGUAAGAAGUCCCAACCAGCACAGAUCUAUCUAUCCAUCUUACAGGAGGAGGGAGGAGUACAGGAGACCUGACCUACCGGUUUGUGUUCCAAAUCGAUCCAAAAUCACAUUUUUUCUUCUUCUUACUUUCACUUUCACUUUCACUUUCACACCACGUAAAUAUAAUAGUCGUGUCUAAACAUACUAUUGCAUAUAGUUACGAGGAAUAUAAGCUAUUGUACACCAU